GAAGAAAUUACACACUCCCCUGACAAAUAUGCAUGUACCUUUAGUUUUAAACUUUCCUAAUUUUGCUGUUCAGGGAGACACUGCUUUGGGAAAUAUUCCAGUGUUCUUAUUUGCUUCAAGUAUCCUACUCUUUCCCUUGCUUGUGACUUUAACUUCCAUCAAGAGGUGAACCAGUUUUUCAGAUAACUCUACCUGUGUUUGUAUCUCAGCCCAAGCAAAUGUUAGAUGUCUGACCUUGGAAUCACAGUUCAUGGGCCUCCUGAAGAACCUCUUGGCCACUACAUUGAGAAACUAAGCAACAAGAUGAGCAAACGCAACAAAAAUGCCCAUUCAGUAUACCUAUUCUUGGACUUCUCUUGGUCUGAAGUGCAAUAUUUAGUCUGUGGGCUUGUGAAAUGACUACAUCAAUAAACAAGGAUACAUUGGCUAUUCUGACUCUCCAAAUUUGAAUUUCUGGGACUGGAGGGUGCCCUGGAAGAACAAGGCUUCCAUCUGGCAGCUACCAGGCUGGAGCUGCUCCCUGUGAUCAAGGCUAUGGUUUUUCCAGUGGUUGUGUACGGAUGGCAGAGUUGGACCGCAAAGAAGGCUGAGCACUGAAGAACUGACACUCUUAAACUGUGGUGUAAAUAGAUGGGGAGACAAUGGAAACAGCGACAUACUUUAUUUUCUUGGGCUCCAAAAUCACUGCAGAUGGUGACUGCAGCCAUAACAUUAAAAGAUGCUUGC
ensembl:lncRNA